CCUACGGGAGGCAGCAGUAGGGAAUAUUGCUCAAUGGGGGUAACCCUGAAGCAGCAACGCCGCGUGAAGGAUGAAGGUUUUAGGAUUGUAAACUCCUUUUGUUGGGGAAGCUUAUGACGGUAUCUAACGUAUAAGCACCGUCUAACUCCGUGCCAGCCGCCGCGGUACUACGGAGGCUGCGAGCGUUAUCCGGAUUUAUUGGGUUUAAAGGGUGCGCAGGCGGAUUUUUAAGUCAGCGGUCAGAUCUUGGGGCGCAACCCCAUCGAGCCGUGGAAACUGGGGAUCGAGAGUGUGCGAGAGGUAUGCGGAAUGCGUGGUGUAGCGGUGAAAUGCAUAGAUAUCACGCAGAACCCCGAUUGCGAAGGCAGCAUACCGGUUCACAACUGACGCUCAGGCACGAAAGCGUGGGUAUCGAACAGGAUUAGAUACCCUAGUAGUC
rnacentral:rRNA from 1 species